CACGUAGGGUGCGAGCGUUGUCCGGAAUUAUUGGGCGUAAAGAGCUCGUAGGCGGCUCGUCGCGUCGGAAGUGAAAGCCCGUGGCUUAACUGCGGGUCUGCUUUCGAUACGGGCGGGCUAGAGGCAGGUAGGGGAGAACGGAAUUCCCGGUGUAGCGGUGAAAUGCGCAGAUAUCGGGAGGAACACCGGUGGCGAAGGCGGUUCUCUGGGCCUGUACUGACGCUGAGGAGCGAAAGCGUGGGGAGCGAACAGG
rnacentral:rRNA from 1 species